AAGCACAUUUCAUUGUCUUUUUCUUAAUACUGUAAGAACAAAGAUAUUUCUGAUGUGCAAUAAUAGCUGAAGGAAAAUUAGCAGUGUGGAAAACCUAUCCAUCACUGUCAGUCACCUUCAAACAAAA